CAGUCGCCGCGGGAAUACAGAGGGUGCAAGCGUUAAUCGGAAUUACUGGGCGUAAAGCGCGCGUAGGUGGUUUGUUAAGUUGGAUGUGAAAUCCCCGGGCUCAACCUGGGAACUGCAUCCAAAACUGGCAAGAUAGAGUAUGGUAGAGGGUGGUGGAAUUUCCUGUGUAGCGGUGAAAUGCGUAGAUAUAGGAAGGAACACCAGUGGCGAAGGCGACCACCUGGACUGAUACUGACACUGAGGUGCGAAAGCGUGGGGAGCAAACAGGAUUAGAUACCCGUGUAGUCCCUGUCUCUUAUAC
rnacentral:rRNA from 1 species